rnacentral:rRNA from 1 species
UGGGGAAUCUUGCGCAAUGGCCGAAAGGCUGACGCAGCGACGCCGCGUGUGGGAGGACGCCCUUCGGGGUGUAAACCACUGUUGCCCGGGACGAACAUCCACUUUCGAGUGGACUGACGGUACCGGGUGAGGAAGCACCGGCUAACUCCGUGCCAGCAGCCGCGGUAAUACGGAGGGUGCGAGCGUUGUCCGGAAUCACUGGGCGUAAAGGGCGCGUAGGUGGCCCAGGAAGUCGGCGGUGAAAGCCCGGCGCUCAACGCCGGGUCGGCCGUCGAUACUCUUGGGCUCGAGCUCACUAGAGGCAGAUGGAAUUCCGGGUGUAGCGGUGGAAUGCGUAGAGAUCCGGAAGAACACCGGUGGCGAAGGCGGUCUGCUGGGGUGAUGCUGACACUGAUGCGCGACAGCGUGGGGAGCAAACAGGAUUAGAUACCCCCGUAGUCC